GGGAAGCCAAGUCAUUAGGGCGGAUCCUCCAGGGUCCAGAGACACUAGAAAAGCAUAGACUACGAAUGAGUUUAUCCACCAUAGAUGUCAACAACAGCUAUCAAUAGGCUCCCUAGGAUCAGAACUGGCUGAGGCAAGCUUCAGUUGAGCUCCGUUCGCAUCGGUCACCACACGCUCCCCUCCCAACUCCAGAAAGCCUGUGGCCCCUCCCAUGCUUUGGCUGCCAUCUUGGAAAGGAGGGCGACAAGCUUUGGAGGGUGGAGAAUAACCCAGUUGAAAAUCUACAAGCAAUGCUGUCCACAUCCCAAAUAGACUGGUCAAAAAGCCUUCAUCCCGUCAGUCACUGACAUCAACUUCAUCCAAAUCAGACUCCUAAAAACCCGGCCUAACUUAUGUGUCAUGCAAAGGAUGGCUCUUGGAAAAAUGCAAAGCAGGGGCCGCUAAGGGAGAGAUGUGAAGGUCAAGGAAGCUCUGAGCUCCUGACAGCCGCCCUUCCAGCCUUCUCCUGCCUUCCAUAGAGAGAUGCUAUGGACUCUUGGUCCAGAGACUCAAAUUCAAGGAAAAGAAGAGGCAACAUUUGCAGUGUUGAUCCUUGAGUUGAACAAAGAGUGGUCAGGAGAAGAAACCAACAAGAAAUGUAACCUACCUCCAGAACUCAGGAACUCAGGUACCCUUAAGGAUAUCAGAAACAAUGAAAUAUGGAUUGGCAGAAGCAUCUUCACCACCAUCUUCAGAUGUAAUUAAUGCAGCUGUUGAAUUUGGUUGACUAUCCACCUAUAAUUACCACAUUGCCCAUUACAGAUUUUUGCUGCCUUUUCUUGCCUCCUUUUCAUUUUUACAUCCACUUAUUCCCUACAGAAAUGACAGAUAAUCAGCAUUUUUGUUUUCUUGUUAUGUUGUCCUGAUAGUACAGCUACAAAUGGAUUUGAUGUGCUGAAUAAUGGUCUACUAGGCCUAAAAAUGAAAGUCUAGACCCUUAGUCAAAAAUAACUUGGAUCUAUGUGGUACCAAGAAAAGAGGAAUUAUAAGAAAAAGAAUAUUAGUUUAAUGUUCUGUAAAUUUUUUUCUUAACCUAUUCUGUCCAGUAUUUACUACUUGGCUGCAUUCCUAAAACAUAAAUUUCACAGGGGCAGGAGUCUUUGUCCAUUUUGCUCAUUAAUGUGUUAGGAAUACUAAAAAGAGUGUCUAGCGGGGUAGUCACAUAAUAAAUACCUGUUGCAUGAACAAA
ensembl:lncRNA LINC02654 long intergenic non-protein coding RNA 2654